CUUAUUGGGCUCCUGUCUGCAGGAUUUACGCGCACGUUGGAACCGAAGAGAGCUCUGUUGUUGCAAUGUUCAGCCCACAAGAGCUUACUGGUGAAGGAAUGGGACAAGACCCAUCUUUAUGCAAAGCCAGCGUUACAGUAAUGUUCCAGCAUCUCAUAAUCUAUCCUGGGGAAUUCAGCUGCCUCCCAGGGUGAAUACAGGUAUUCCUGAUGACAGUCUGCCUCUAUCUUACAGAGCAGCUUGUUGCUAUAUACCAUUGAAAAGCCUUCAGAGCUGAGAGGUACUACUAACCAAUAACCUGCUUGGCUCAAAGGGCCAGCACCUUCUCUCUAAAGCCCAAGAGGAGUUUGAGGAAAACUAGGUGUCUGUGUUCACUCCAGGCUGAAGUUACAGGUCUGAGCAAAUAAGGUGUAUAAAAAAUGGAAUCUGUCUUGGAGGACAUCAGAAGAUACAAGGGCUUGGUUUUGUUACCCAGGCUGGUUUCAAGGCCAUAGCUUUAAGAGAUCCUCUCACCACAGAUUUCCAAAGUGCUGGGAUUGCAGGUGUGAUUCAUGGCACCCAGACUUUGCUGCCUUUCUUACAUGAUCCAGGCCCAGAACCCAAACUCAGGCACUGUAUAGAUGACCACUUUCGUAAACUACUGACCUAGCUUGUUGCCAAUUGUUGAUUGAACUUCCCAUAACUCCACUUCGUGUCUGUUCCUCUGUAUACAGCCACCUUCUGUUCCCGUCAUGAGCCUUUAGGUCUCCAUUUGCAUAUUGCAAAUACUAUGUUCCAUGUAGGUAGCUCAUUCAGGGCCUUGCUCUUCACUUCAAAAAAGGUUCCCUUGAGGACUGGCUGUCAAUUUGUGUUGCUGUGUUGGUUGUUGAUGAAAAUAAUAAAAUGAUUGAUUACAUA
rnacentral:lncRNA from 1 species